rnacentral:misc_RNA from 1 species
CGGCCUGUGUAAGGUGAUAGUGGAACUGUGCGUGCUAUCCCUUAGUCGCCUCUUACGACACCCACGGAAAGAGAGAGGGUGGCUAUAUUCUUAAAUUGCUGUAACAACACAGCAUAAAUUUAAUUUGAUAUUAUUUUAAGACAAAUAUGGAAGUUUAACCCUACUGACUUCUGUGUGUAUGAUGACACUUAACCCUACAAAAUUCUAGUAUUCAAUAAUUGUAUUUAAAAAACCCAUUUAUUUUCCCAAUACUUAAGAAUAAUUGUAAUGGUACUUGAAAUUGGUUUUACGCUACUAACAUACUGCUAACAUAAUCAUAUUUUUUUACUGGAGUUUCUCUAAUAUAAAAAAACAUACGAGGCACAAUCAAUACCUACUAAAGUUGAAAAGCUUGCGUGUUUCUUUGUUUAAACGCGCGCAUUUAUUGUGAAACCGCGGGUCACAGCUAAUAUUUAAAUAUACAAGUACGUCGCAUUCUUUACAUUUUCGUAUUGACUAAGGUUUAUUAAGAUCAUAAAAUAUACAACCAUAUAAAAUAGUAUAAAAUUAAAAUACCUAAAAAGAUCACGUGUCCGGUAUUAGUGCAUCGAGUGACUGAUUACAUCAUACAUCACGAUAAAGACUCCUCUGAUAAACUAUGACAUGCUCUUAAUAACGCGUUUUGUUUAUAAAAUCGUUUCGAUCAUAAUAUUCAUAAUGAUGCUAUAAAUAAAUAUAUCGUAAUAUGUUUAAACAUUGUUAUUUUAUCAUUAAAACAAUUUAAUGUCUCAAAAUUACAAGUAAACCAACCCAAGUAAAUUCCUUAAGGGUAAAAUAUAAAAAGAACAUCUUAGGUUGCCGUAAUUAAUGUUUAAUUUAUCUAUACUAAUAUUAUAAAGAGGAAAGAUUUGAUUGUUUGUUUGUUUGCAUUGAAUAGGCUCCGAAACUUCUAAACCGAUUUGGAAAUUCUUUCGCUGUUGGGAAGUUACACUGUCCGCGGGUAACAUACGCUAUAUUAUAUUUUCAAAAAUAAUAGGGGAAAAAAUAUUUAAAAAUUUAAUUUUGUUAAACACCCGUGCGAAGUUGGGGCAGGAUGCUAGUCACAUAUUAUAAGAGGCUUGAACAAGGGUAAUAUUUAAAUGUUUUCUACUCAUUUAAUGAUAAGGAUUUAUUUUAUAAAUUGUAUUUCUUGGCUUUAUUUGCAACGGCUAUUGUGGCUAAUAAUGAUUCCUCUAUUAUUAUCUGUGUCUGCCGCGUCUAGUCACUCGUCACAGUAUCAAUUGUAAACUACUAUGCUUUCAAAGAUCACUACACAAACCUAAUACUCACUAAUUAUAAUUAAUCUUAAAUCUAACACUUUUAUUAACUUAGGUUUUAAUUUUAUGGGUUUUCCAUAACAACUUUUCAUGACAUUAUAUACACAUAGGUACACAUUAAACAGGCAUCCGUAAACGCGUUCCUAGCUCACUCACUAUUCAAAGCUAAAUUCCUAAAAUGAAAAUGACCGAGAACUUUAAAACUCCAGUGACGGCCAGCAAAGUCUUAAUAACU